rnacentral:rRNA from 1 species
UACGAGGGGGGCGAGCGUUGUUCGGAAUUAUUGGGCGUAAAGGGCGCGUAGGCGGUGCGGUAAGUCACCUGUGAAACCUCUGGGCUUAACUCAGAGCCUGCAGGCGAAACUGCCGUGCUGGAGUGUGGGAGAGGUGCGUGGAAUUCCCGGUGUAGCGGUGAAAUGCGUAGAUAUCGUAAGGAAGACCAGUGGCGAAGGCGGGUCUCUGGACAGUUCCUGACGCUGAGGCACGAAGGUCAGGGGAGCAAACGGG